rnacentral:rRNA from 1 species
AACGAACGCUGGCGGCAGGCCUAACACAUGCAAGUCGAGCGAGGACUUCGGUUCUAGCGGCGGACGGGUGAGUAACGCGUGGGAAUGUGCCCUUCUCUACGGAAUAGCCCUGGGAAACUGGGAGUAAUACCGUAUACGCCCUAUUGGGGAAAGAUUUAUCGGAGAAGGAUCAGCCCGCGUUGGAUUAGGUAGUUGGUGGGGUAAUGGCCUACCAAGCCGACGAUCCAUAGCUGGUUUGAGAGGAUGAUCAGCCACACUGGGACUGAGACACGGCCCAGACUCCUACGGGAGGCAGCAGUGGGUAAUCUUAGACAAUGGGGGCAACCCUGAUCUAGCCAUGCCGCGUGAGUGAUGAAGUCCUUAGGGUAGUAAAGCUCUUUCAGCUGGGAAGAUAAUGACGGUACCAGCAGAAGAAGCCCCGGCUAACUCCGUG